rnacentral:rRNA from 1 species
CCUACGGGGUGCAGCAGUGGGGGAUAUUGCACAAUGGGGGAAACCCUGAUGCAGCGACGCCGCGUGGGUGAAGAAGCGCCUCGGCGCGUAAAGCCCUGUCAGCAGGGAAGAAAAUGACGGUACCUGAAGAAGAAGCCCCGGCUAACUACGUGCCAGCAGCCGCGGUAAUACGUAGGGGGCAAGCGUUAUCCGGAUUUACUGGGUGUAAAGGGGGCGCAGACGGCGAUGCAAGCCAGGAGUGAAAGCCCGGGGCCCAACCCCGGGACUGCUCUUGGAACUGCGUGGCUAGAGUGCAGGAGGGGCAGGCGGAAUUCCUGGUGUAGCGAUGAAAUGCGUAGAGAUCAGGAGGAACACCGGUGGCGAAGGCGGCCUGCUGGACUGCAACUGACGUUGAGGCCCGAAAGCGUGGGGAGCAAACAGGAUUAGAUACCCCAGUAGUC